ensembl:lncRNA
AAGUCCUGGCAGGCGUUCACAUUGACCUUGUUUGAGCAGGCGGCUGUAAUUAAGACGCUAGCUGGAAACCUGACUCCAGUGUGACGCAGCCUGAGGCUGGCUGCAGAAGUGGAGGUCGGAAAAAGAAAUGCGAUUCUCGUCGGCUCAGUGGCUGCACUCGAUAGUGCUGCCAAGGCCGAGGUUAGCCCACUAAUUCGUCCAAAUGAGCGCCCUUAUUCAUGGUAUCUUUAUACAUGCAGACACACUCACAUAAACACACAUACCAAUGUUCCCGCAGACCAGAGAGAAGUGGAGAGUUAUGAGGGCUUUGGUUUUCCUGGGACAGAGGAGAGCUGAGUAUGAUGUCGGCCAUUGAUCUGUUGUGAGUUCCUGUGGCGGAAUAUUAAAGACAGAGUGUAUUGGAAAACCAGAUGCUACGUGGCCUUACAUAACGAUCCCUUCCAUGAACAAGAAGCCAUUUGUCAAGAUCCCAUUUAAUGCAGCUCAGAAGCAGCUCAUAUGUCGGGAGAAAAUGACGACUGCUAUGUUCAUUAUUACAUCCAACAACAAAACACCUCAGUUGCUUAAUUUGGGACAUUCUUUUCUUCCCCUGCACCGGAGUCGACACAAUGGUGGACAGCUCAUAGCUCACUCAGGGCGGGUCUAAGCUCUUUUCCGCUGUUCAUGUUGGUUAUCCAUAACCAGUCUGGAACCAGCCCAGAACACUCAGUUGAGCUAAAUCCAAGUUCAUGUAACAAGAUCAGGACUUGGAGAUGCCGGCCUACCACAACAAUUUGGCAUUGUGGAGCGAGUGAUAAAAAGCAAGAAAAAAGGAGGCUCAGUUGUGUGUUGGGAUUAGAGUUCAAGAUAUCACUCUGACGUAAUGUGAGAGCUCUUGUGGCUGCUGCGGGUGAAGGGGCUCAUCGCAUGGUUUGGCUGCUACCCAAGACCUGAGCUUCAGUGACCAACAUCACGUCUGUGUCAGUUAACCUUUGCUUGAUAUCAUGCCUGCAUCUAUGUGUUCUUCUCUUUCUCCAUAUCUAUUAUUUAUUUAUUCAUUUAUUUUGUUUAUUGUGUAAUGCUGUUUACCACAAUGUGUCUUUGUUUCAUAUUGAAUGCAUUACUUUCAUCCUUAUACAUGAUACCAUUUAGGUGGCUGGGAUUGAUGUAGUGUAUUGAGGAGCUGGGGGAUUUGUGCAAAUGCACUACACAUAACUAAUAGAGUAUUAAUAGAGUGUUACCAAAAGGUCAUACGGAUUAUGAUAAGUGGGAUAUUUUAUUGUUCUACAGUAUAAAUAUGCAAAAUAUCUGUCUUUUGCUAACUGCCGCAUUAUUGUUACCAAAUUGACACCAAAAGGUGUUACCAAAAGGUCAUACUGAUUUUGUACAAUCUAAGGGGGAGAUUUUACUGUUCUACAAUGAAAAUAAGCAAAAUAACAGUAUUUUGAUAAGUACUAUUAUGGCAGCCUAAAGAGAUCAUUGCAGUGCCAGCUGGAGUAAUGUAGUAUAAACUAUGACUUUGCUUUAGAAAUGGUCCUUUAUUAAAAAAAAGUUCGUAUUUAUUGUACACACAAAAUUACAGUAAAGUGAAUCAUGAAGCUUAAAUCUUUGUUAGUUAUAAUAUGCAUUUGUGUUAUACACUUGUGUUAUAAAUUGUUUUUAAAUGCAUUAUUUCAUAUAAUUCAAUAAAUUAUGUACACACCUAUCCA